rnacentral:rRNA from 1 species
GAUGAACGCUAGCUACAGGCUUAACACAUGCAAGUCGAGGGUCUUUGGAGCUUGCUUUAAAAGACGACCGGCGCACGGGGUGAGUAACGCGUAUCCAACCUGCCCUUCAUAUUGGGAUAGCCUCUCGAAAGGGAGAUUAAUACCGAAUAACAUAGUUUAGUUGCCUGACCAGACUAUGAAAGCUCCGGCGAUGAAGGAUGGGGAUGCGUUCCAUUAGGUAGUAGGCGGGGUAACGGCCCACCUAGCCAACGAUGGAUAGGGGUUCUGAGAGGAAGGUCCCCCACACUGGUACUGAGACACGGACCAGACUCCUACGGGAGGCAGCAGUGAGGAAUAUUGGUCAAUGGGCGGGAGCCUGAACCAGCCAAGUCGCGUGAGGGAAGACGGCCCUACGGGUUGUAAACCUCUUUAGUCGGGGAGCAAAAAGGAUCACGCGUGGUCCAUUGAGCGUACCCGAAGAAUAAGCAUCGGCUAACUCCGUG